CAUUGAAACUGUUAGACUUGAGAAUGGACGAGGUAGGCGGAAUUCGUAGUGUAGCGGUGAAAUGCAUAGAUAUUACGAAGAACUCCAAUAGUGUAGACUGCUUACCAGACCAUAUCUGACACUAAGGCACGAAAGUGUGGGUAUCAAACAGGAUUAGAUACCCUGGUAGUCCACACAGUAAACGAUGAAUACUAACUGUUUGCGAUAUACAGCAAGUGGUCGAGCGAAAGCGUUAAGUAUUCCACCUGGGAAGUAUGCCGGCAACGGUGAAACUCAAAGGAAUUGACGGGGGCCCGCACAAGCGGAGGAACAUGUGGUUUAAUUCGAUAAUACGCGAGGAACCUUACCCGGGCUCGAACGAUAUUUGAAUACAUCCGAAAAGAUGUAGCUAGCAAUAGCAAAUACCGAGGUGCUGCAUGGUUGUCGUCAGCUCGUGCCGUGAGGUGUCGACUUAAGUGUCAUAACGAGCGCAACCCUUACCGAUAGUUACCAUCAGAUAAUGCUGGGGACUCUAUUGGGACUGCCACCGUAAGGUGUGAGGAAGGAGAGGAUGACGUCAAAUCAGCACGGCCCUUAUGUCCGGGGCGACACACGUGUUACAAUGGGAGAAACAAAGGGUCGCUACCUGGCAACAGGAUGCUAAUCUCGAAAAUCUCUCUCAGUUCGGAUUGGAGUCUGCAACUCGACUCCAUGAAGCUGGAUUCGCUAGUAAUCGCACAUCAGCCAUGGAGCGGUGAAUACGUUCCCGGGCCUUGUACACACCGCCCGUCAAGCCAUGGAAGCUGGAAGUACCUGAAGUAUGUAACUAAAAGAGCGUCCUAAGUAUCAGGN
rnacentral:rRNA from 1 species